UCAUGUUCUUUAUGAAGAGGAUUUGUUAGGUCCUGAUAUGCCCGUGAAUUCAAACGGAAGACAAAUUCUGUGCAACAGGGCUGUAAUGAAAUGAACGAAGCCUCAGCUCAUUCUGCAGACAUACCUUAAAGAGCCAUACAAAACCAUGAAGAGGUUCAAAAGAGAUCUUUCAGAGAGCCCUGGAAGAAAACUGAAUCAAAGAAGUAAUUAUUUUUUUAAAAAGGGAACAGAAGCAUGAGCAAAAGCUCCUAGUGUCCUGAGAGGGUGAACUGCUGAGGACAAGAAAACCAGGGGGAG
rnacentral:lncRNA from 1 species